GGGCAGAUGGUGUAAUGGUAACACUCCAAAAUCUGGGUGGUCCCGACCUGGAUUUUGGAGAUGGAGGUUCGAAUCCUUCUCUGCGCA
rnacentral:tRNA from 1 species